AGAGUUUGAUCAUGGCUCAGAAUGAACGUUGGCGGCGUGGAUUAGGCAUGCAAGUCGUGCGAGAAGUCCCUUUCGGGGGAUGGACAGCGGCGAAAGGGAGAGUAAUACGUAGAAAUCUGCCCCCUGGUCUGGGAUAGCGUCGGGAAACUGGCGGUAAUACCGGAUAAAGUCUUCGGACCAAAGGUGAGAUUCCGCCGGGGGAUGAGUCUACGACCUAUUAGCUAGUUGGCGGGGUAAUGGCCCACCAAGGCAAUGAUGGGUAGCGGGUGUGAGAGCAUGACCCGCCUCACUGGGACUGAGACACUGCCCAGACAUCUACGGAUGGCUGCAGUCGAGAAUCUUUAUCAAUGGACGAAAGUCUGAACAAGCGACGCCGCGUGCGGGAUGAAGGCCUUCGGGUUGUAAACCGCUGUCGUAAGGGAGCAAAUCCAAGGGGGUUCUCCCCCUUGGUUGAGUGAUCUUAGGAGGAAGGACGGGCUAAGUUCGUGCCAGCAGCCGCGGUAAGACGAACCGUCCGAACGUUAUUCGGUAUCACUGGGCUUAAAGAGUUCGUAGGCGGCCAUGUAGGUCAGGUGUGAAAUCCCACAGCUCAACUGUGGAACUGCGCUUGAAACCACAUGGCUUGAGGAAGAUAGAGGUGAGUGGAACUGAUGGUGGAGCGGUGAAAUGCGUUGAUAUCAUCAGGAACACCGGUGGCGAAAGCGGCUCACUGGAUCUUUUCUGACGCUGAGGAACGAAAGCUAGGGUAGCGAACGGGAUUAGAUACCCCGGUAGUCCUAGCCGUAAACGAUGAGCACUAGUCCGUGGGGACCCUCACAUCUUCUCGGACGUAGCGAAAGUGUUAAGUGCUCCGCCUGGGGAGUAUGGUCGCAAGGCUGAACUCA
rnacentral:rRNA from 1 species